UACGUAGGGGGCAAGCGUUAUCCGGAUUCACUGGGUGUAAAGGGUGCGUAGGCGGUCGGAUAAGUUAGAGGUGAAAUCCCGAGGCUCAACUUCGGAAUUGCCUCUGAUACUGUUCGGCUAGAGAGUAGUUGCGGUAGGCGGAAUGUAUGGUGUAGCGGUGAAAUGCUUAGAGAUCAUACAGAACACCGAUUGCGAAGGCAGCUUACCAAGCUACUUCUGACGUUGAGGCACGAAAGCGUGGGGAGCAAACAGG
rnacentral:rRNA from 1 species